CUCAUAGCCAACUGGGUACACCUGACUCAUAAUCAGGGAGUCCUUGGUUCAAGCCCAAGUGGGACCA
rnacentral:tRNA from 1 species